GGCGCGCUCUGCGCGCACCGGCGGAGGCUCAGUAACACGUCGGUAACCUACCCUCGGGAGGGGGAUAACCCCGGGAAACUGGGGCUAAUCCCCCAUAGGCCUGAGGUACUGGAAGGUCCUCAGGCCGAAAGGGUCUUUGACCGCCCGAGGAUGGGCCGGCGGCCGAUUAGGUAGUUGGUGGGGUAACGGCCCACCAAGCCGAAGAUCGGUACGGGCCAUGAGAGUGGGAGCCCGGAGAUGGACACUGAGACACGGGUCCAGGCCCUACGGGGCGCAGCAGGCGCGAAACCUCCGCAAUGCGGGCAACCGCGACGGGGGGACCCCCAGUGCCGUGGCAUCGCCACGGCUUUUCCGGAGUGUAAAAAGCUCCGGGAAUAAGGGCUGGGCAAGGCCGGUGGCAGCCGCCGCGGUAAUACCGGCGGCCCGAGUGGUGGCCGCUAUUAUUGGGCCUAAAGCGUCCGUAGCCGGGCCCGUAAGUCCCUGGCGAAAUCCCACGGCUCAACCGUGGGGCUUGCUGGGGAUACUGCGGGCCUUGGGACCGGGAGAGGCCGGGGGUACCCCUGGGGUAGGGGUGAAAUCCUAUAAUCCCAGGGGGACCGCCAGUGGCGAAGGCGCCCGGCUGGAACGGGUCCGACGGUGAGGGACGAAGGCCAGGGGAGCGAACCGGAUUAGAUACCCGGGUAGUCCUGGCUGUAAAGGAUGCGGGCUAGGUGUCGGGUG
rnacentral:rRNA from 1 species